AGCUUAUUACCUACACUCAUUGACCGUAUUUUUCCUCUCUUGUGAACCACAGUUUCUGGUCUGACUCCUUAUUUCUCUUGGAUUAUUUUUUUCCAAAGGCAACCACUUAGCCAGAUUUUCAAAGCCUUUCUGCUGUUCCAUCUCCUGAACAGACAUAAAUGUUCUUCCUGCCCAAUUACCCUGUCAUCUGCUAGAGGCAUCCUCAUCUUUCUUGUUUUAAGGGGACUGCCUCCUCACCGCUGGUGUACGCCACUGUGGGUGACUAUUCUUUUCCUACAGUGCUGGAUUCUAGUUGCUAAGAUUUUAUGGAGGGUCUCUGCACUUCCAUUCAUGCGGGAAGCUGGUCUGUGCUUCCUUUUUCUGCGUUUAGCUGCAGCACAGUGAUGAGAGCCACAGGUUCUCGAACAAGCCUGCCUGCGCCAAGUACAUGGCACAGUGGCUGGUGCCCCUUGCAGCUCAUUCCCACACCUGGGCCACGUGGGUUCUGGGGAGCAGAUGGGGUGGCUUCCUUUGUGGAGUCUCUGAGCUGCAAGCUCUUUGGAGUCACAAGGGUGGCUCCCUGACAACCUACUAAAAAUACAAAAAAUUAGCUGGGCAUGGGGGCGCACACCUGUAAUCCCAGCUACUCGGGAGGCUGAGGCAGGAGAACUGCUUGAACCCGGGAGGUGGAGGUUGCAGUGGUCUCUCCUGCCUUCUGCCCCACAGUCAAAUUCGUUCUGAGAAGGCAAGAAUUGAGGUUGCUGCAGACCCGUACAGAUAUGUUCUGACGCUAACAGGAACAUGGGUAGGGGACGGGGGCACCCUGGCUUCCAGUGAGACCCCAAAGGGUGUUUCAAAUAGUCACACGUCAUCUUAUGAUGACGUCAUCACACAGUGGCAAUCAAGAAACACAUUUUUUUACUUUUUAUUAUUAAUUUUUAUUUAUUUGAGAUAGGGUGUCCCUCUGUUGCCCAGGCUGGAGUGCAGUGGCACCAUCGCUGCUCACUGCACCUUCUGCCUCCCUGGUUCAAGCCAUUCUCCUGCCUCAGCCUCCGGAGUAGCUGGGACUACAGGCACUUACCACUAUGCCCGGCUAAUUUUUGUAUUUUUAGUAGAGACGGGGUUUCACCAUGGUGGCAGGCACCUGUAAUCCUAGCUACUUGGGAGGCUGAAGCAGGAGAAUCGUUUGAACCUGGGAGGCAGAGGUUGCAGUGAGCUGAGAUCGCGCCAUUGCACUCCAGCCUGGGUGACAGUGCGAGACUACAUCUCAAAAAAAAAAAAAAAAAAGAAAAAGAAAAUGGUAUCUUGGACUCCAGGGAAUUUCUCCUUGGAUUAAGUGAACUAGGAUUUGGUAUUUGCAACCCUAAAAUUCCUUCCCAAAAGGGCUCCUGUGAAUGGGCUGCCUCUGAGCAUGUUUAAGAGGUGCCAAAAUGAAUUAAACUUUGAGAAGUAUAAAUGAGCAAUUUAGAGGCUUUCAGCUCUAACCUAUGUGAUUUUGGCUUUUAGUUU
rnacentral:lncRNA from 1 species